rfam:Gossypium arboreum cultivar AKA8401 contig_301_13, whole genome shotgun sequence.
UAUUAAAAUUUUCAUUCAUUUCUACUGUUAAAAACUGGCAUGCUUGAUAGAAUAACCAAUGGCACGUGCAUACUCCUCGUGUUGACAUAUAAAGACUAGUUUUUAAUAGUAGAAAUGGGUAAAAUUUUUAACA